CCUAGGCGCCCAUUCAAACAAAUAACCGACCCGAAGGCACCGCUCGUACGCUUAUCAAAUUCCAACAAACCCUAAUCCCAAGAUCCCCCCAUACAAGUAGCCCUCCUACUAGCCCAUCGCUUUCAGAUGUUCUCUGCCCUUUCUUUCCCUUUGCCGGCCAGCAGCGGCCAGCAGCCCUGACUGGUGCCUUAUAAGAUCGGAGCCAAUCGGCUGUCUUUUACAGUUGAUCUAUGAGUUUGGUCAAUAAACUCAUUGCAUAAGUGCACCAAGUAGCCCCUUGCUUUUUUGUAGGUAUAGUUGCAAGGAAUAAACGAUGAAAGGUCAAAGACGGGCCAAGGAUGGUAUCUACUCUUGUUUGGACCUGCUCAAAUGUGAAACAAUUAGCUUGUACGAGAUUUCUUAGUCUGUUAUGCUGUUGCCUUCAGGCUAAACGAGUAUGGUGCAAUAAAAAGCUUUCAUUCUUUCUCUGUCC